rnacentral:rRNA from 1 species
AACGAACGCUGGCGGCAGGCCUAACACAUGCAAGUCGAACGACCCCUCCGGGGGUGGUGGCGCACGGGUGCGUCACGCGUGGGACUCUGCCCUUUGCCUCGGAAUACCUCAUGGACACUUGUGCUAAUACCGGAUGAUGUCUUCGGACCAAGGAUUUAUCGGCAAGGGAUGAGCCGGCGUAGGUUUAGGUAGUUGGUGGGGUAUAGGCCUACCAAGAGGACGAUCCUUAGCUGGUCUGAGGGGAUGAGCAGCCACGCUGGGACUGAGACACGACCCAGAAUUCUUCGGGAAGGGGCAGUAGGCAAUAUUGGACAAUGCGCGUAAGUCUGGUAGACCAAUGCCGCGUGAAGGAUGAAGGCCGGCAAGUCGUAAAGCUCUGUUACCAGGGAUGAUAAUGACAGGACCCGGAGAAUAAGCUCCGGCUAACUCCGGG